rnacentral:lncRNA from 1 species
UGACCGCAUGCGGUUUAGCUGGUUCAACGCCGGCUGCAGGAUGUUGUAGAGAACCCAGGCGAUCGCCGGCGCCACCACGAACAGCAGCAGCAGGCCGCGGUUGUCGCCGCCCUCCGCCGCCGCCGCCUCCGCCGCCAGCCUCGCCACCUCCUGCGCCGCCGACGCCUCGGGCGGGAACGCGAGCCCGGCACCCGCCGCCGCGCCCAGGCCGAGCCCGGCGACGAGCACCUGCUCCGACCGCAUGCGGUUCAGCUGGUUCAGCGCCGGCUGGAGGAUGUUGUAGAGCACCCACGCGAUGGCCGGCGCGAUCGGCAGCAGCAACGCCAGCCCGCGGUUGUCGUCGGCACCCGCCGCCGCCGCGGCGACGUCCGCGAUCUGCUGCGCCGCGAGCGCCGCGUCCGUCGACGCCAGCGCCGAGAAGAACGCGCCCGCCAUCGCCGCCGCCGCCACGGGCGCCGCCGCCGCCGACGACGACGACACCGACAUGCCCUUCUUGGCCAGGCUCUUGAGCGAGAUGCUAGGCACCCUGCCGCUCCCCGACGGCGCCGGCGAUGACCGCGCCACGAUCUUGGACGGCUUAAGCAUGGCCAUCGCAGCUAUG